AGUUCGGUCCCUAUCCGCUGUGCGCGUAGGAAUAUUGAGAAGGGCUGUCCCUAGUACGAGAGGACCGGGACGGACGAACCUCUGGUGUGCCAGUUGUUCUGCCAAGGGCAUGGCUGGUUGGCUACGUUCGGAAAGGAUAACCGCUGAAAGCAUCUAAGCGGGAAGCCUGCUUCGAGAUGAGUGUUCCCACCACCUUGAGUGGUUAAGGCUCCCAGUAGACGACUGGGUUGAUAGGCCAGAUGUGGAAGCCCGGUAACGGGUGGAGCUGACUGGUACUAAUAGGCCGAGGGCUUGUCCUCAGUUG
rnacentral:rRNA from 1 species